ensembl:snoRNA U3 Small nucleolar RNA U3
CUGCCUGCCCCCGCCCCCAAAAAAGGAAGAAGAAGAGUUUUUAAAUAGCGCAGCCCCAGAAUCCACGAGGAGGAAGUUCAGUAUUCUCUCCUGAGCGUGAAGUUGGCUCUUGGCGUUGCUUCACUGCAACUGCUAUUUGCCAUUGAUGAUUGUUCCUCUCUUCCUCUGAGAGAGUAAGAGGGAGAGGAUGCAGUCUGAGUGGU